rnacentral:misc_RNA from 1 species
AUCAGAGAACAGAAUUUAAUACGUCUUCCUAUAGCAAAGAGGAAGCUAUCUAUAUAGUUUGGAAGUUUCAUCCUUUUAGGUGGAAUACACGUUUGACGUUGAAAAGUUCAAGAACGAAGCACUAAGGUCGUUCGAUGACUUCGAUGGAACCGGAUUGCGGAAAUGGCUGUGAAAUGAUCGUACCUUGUCGCAGGCAAAUGAAAACGAAGCCUACGACGACAUUUGGUGAACGCGAUAAGAGAAAAAUGAUUGUAAAUAUCGAUAUAAUUCUACCAUGGAAGAUAAGCGAGCAUCUGAACUUAGUGUCCA